rnacentral:rRNA from 1 species
UAUGUAGGCGGUUGCUUAAGUUUGGUGUGAAAUCUCCCGGCUCAACUGGGAGGGUGCGCCGAAUACUGAGUGACUCGAGUGCGGGAGAGGAAAGUGGAAUUCCUGGUGUAGCGGUGAAAUGCGUAGAUAUCAGGAGGAACACCGGUGGUGUAGACGGCUUUCUGGACCGUAACUGACGCUGAAACACGAAAGCGUGGGUAGCAAACAGGAGUUAGAUACCCUGGUAGUCCACGCCCUAACGAUGCACAUUUGGUGUGGGUCAUUCAGUUGAUCCGUGCCGGAGCUAACGCGUUAAUGUGCCGCCUGGGGAGUACAGUCGCAAGGCUGAA